rnacentral:misc_RNA from 1 species
GAUGAGUGUAUCAACGUUAGCUCAUUGGAAUAAUUGUCCAUUGAGGUAUUCAAGGUGCUAGGUGUGUUAAAGGUACACAUUUUACGACGUACGACGAACGUGCAUCGCAGGUGCAUGCAUUACCGAAAUUGUCUUCCCUCCUGCACGAUGCUUUACCUCAUCGGCUUGGACCGGCUCUAUUUGGCGAGACGCUUUCUGGAGACAAACUGCUAUGCCGUGAUCCCCUCCUCUGACCCCGCCAGGUCGCACACUCGGGUGGCUAGGAAUACCUCNUGAGUGCCCGCGGANACG